GAUCAUGGCUCAGGAUGAACGCUGGCGGCGUGCUUAACACAUGCAAGUCGAGCGAAGCACUUUACUUGGAUUUCUUCGGAAUGACGAGUAUUGUGACUGAGCGGCGGACGGGUGAGUAACGCGUGGGUAACCUGCCUCAUACAGGGGGGAUAACAGUUAGAAAUGACUGCUAAUACCGCAUAAGACCACAGCACCGCAUGGUGCAGGGGUAAAAACUCCGGUGGUACGAGAUGGACCCGCG
rnacentral:rRNA from 1 species